rnacentral:rRNA from 1 species
UACAGAGGCCUCGAGCGUUAGGCGGAAUCACUGGGCUUAAAGCGUGUGUAGGCGGACUUCUAAGUACCUUGUGAAAUCCCACGGCUCACCCGUGGAACUGCUUGGUAUACUGGUUGUCUUGAGCCUUCUAGGGGCGAGUGGAACAAAUGGUGGAGCGGUGAAAUGCGUAGAUAUCAUUUGGAACGCCAAUGGUGAAAACCACUCGCUGGGGAAGUGCUGACGCUGAGACACGAAAGCCAGGGGAGCGAACGGG